AUUGAACGCUGGCGGCAUGCCUUACACAUGCAAGUCGAACGGCAGCACGGGAGCAAUCCUGGUGGCGAGUGGCGAACGGGUGAGUAAAGUAUCGGAACGUGCCCAGUCGUGGGGGAUAACGUAGCGAAAGUUACGCUAAUACCGCAUACGAUCUAUGGAUGAAAGCGGGGAAUCGCAAGACCUCGCGCGAUUGGAGCGGCCGAUAUCAGAUUAGGUAGUUGGUGGGGUAAAGGCUCAACAAGCCGACGAUCUGUAGCUUGUCUGAGAGGACGACCAGCCACACUGGGACUGGGACACGGCCAGACUCCUACGGGAGGCAGCAGUGGGGAAUUUUGGAAAAUGGGCGAAAGCCUGAUCCAGCCAUGCCGCGUGCAGGAUGAAGGCCUUCGGGUUGUAAACUGCUUUUGUACGGAACGAAAAGGUUUGGCCUAAUAAGCUGAGCUCAUGACGGUACCGUAAGAAUAAGCACCGGCUAACUACGUGCCAGCAGCCGCCGUAA
rnacentral:rRNA from 1 species